rnacentral:rRNA from 1 species
GAUGAACGCUGGCGGCGUGCCUAAUACAUACAAGUCGAGCGAACAGACGAGGAGCUUGCUCCUCUGACGUUAGCGGCGGACGGGUGAGUAACACGUGGAUAACCUACCUAUAAGACUGGGAUAACUUCGGGAAACCGGAGCUAAUACCGGAUAAUAUAUUGAACCGCAUGGUUCAAUAGUGAAAGACGGUUUUGCUGUCACUUAUAGAUGGAUCCGCGCCGCAUUAGCUAGUUGGUAAGGUAACAGCUUACCAAGGCAACGAUGCGUAGCCGACCUGAGAGGGUGAUCGGCCACACUGGAACUGAGACACGGUCCAGACUCCUACGGGAGGCAGCAGUAGGGAAUCUUCCGCAAAGGGCGAAAGCCUGACGGAGCAACGCCGCGUGAGUGAUGAAGGUCUUCGGAUCGUAAAACUCUGUUAUUAGGGAAGAACAAAUGUGUAAGUAACUAUGCACGUCUUGACGGUACCUAAUCAGAAAGCCACGGCUAACUACGUG